GGACCCGCACAAGCAGUGGAGCAUGCGGAUUAAUUCGAUGCAACGCGAAGAACCUUACCAGGGCUUGACAUUUAGUGGAAAGUUGAUAGAGAUAUCGACCCUUCUUCGGAACCGCUAAACAGGUGGUGCAUGGUUGUCGUCAGCUCGUGUCGUGAGAUGUUGGGUUAAGUCCCUUAACGAGCGCAACCCUUGUCCUUUGUUACUAACAAUUCGGUUGAGGACUCAAAGGAGACCGCCGGGGUCAACUCGGAGGAAGGAGGGGAUGACGUCAAAGUCAUCAUGCCCCUUACGUCCUGGGCUUCACGCAUGCUACAAUGGCCAAUACAAAGAGCUGCAAGAGCGCAAGCUGGAGCGAAUCUCAAAAAGUUGGUCUCAGUUCAGAUUGGGGUCUGCAACUCGACCCCAUGAAGAUGGAAUUGCUAGUAAUCGUAGGAUCAGCAACGCCA
rnacentral:rRNA from 1 species